UUGAUGAAGCUGGAGGAAGCAGGAUUUCAUGGACAUGGCCCAACUUCGGAAUCAUGACUGAUAGAAGAAGAUGGCGGACCGGGAGAAACUCAGUGAAGCCAUUGGCCUUUUAAACAACAUUUUAAACUCUCCAACCGUUAUUACAGCAAUGUCAGAAAUGUUGGAUCAAAGGCGACAGACACCCACAGGUGCCUCUUCUAACGCGACUGUGGAGGAGGAAAUGCGGCGGAUCUUCAGGGCUAGCUCAUCAGGUGUAUCAGCAAGUGCCAGUAGCACUUCGUCUGGAUCUAGCCUGAACCAAGUGAUGCAACCUCGAUAUCGAACUCAACAGUAUUUCGGUGGAUGGGCUUCAAAGUCAAGGAAGAGAUUUAAGGAGGGGCUGAAGACCCUUGGUGUUCAGAAUGCACCCAGACAGUUUUAGACCCUUAAUGUGUCACGAACCAUCCCCACUCACUGCUGACUUAAUGGAUCACCUGUUCCUCAUCCGGCUGUCUGCAGUGGGAAGCAACAAAAGAAGGGCAGAGGAACGUGUUGUUCCAUUUUGGAGGGACUACCUGCAGGAUGUUGAAGAGCAAGAGGGAUCCUCAAAGCUAGGUAAAAUCCUAGCCUUUGCAACGGGUGCAAGUGUCAUCCCUCCGGUUGGCUUCUCCCCUCAACCAUCAGUUGAUUUCUUGCAUGAUCAGCCUGUCAGCUCCAGACGCUGUUUGCCAAUGGCAAACACCUGCAUCAACUGCCUUAAGUUGCUGCUGCUUGACACAUACGAGGAUUUCAGGGAGAGUAUGGACUGUGCAUUAGGUAACACACAGGGUUUUGGUAGAGAAUAAUAUAUGGACUGUGAACAUUCAAGCUUAGCCAUUUGCAGAAAAAUCUUGUAUUUGAUGCUAUUACAGGUAACUAUUACAGUUUGAAAAAAAAACACA